ACUACGGGAGGCAGCAGUGAGGAAUAUUGGUCAAUGGGCGCGAGCCUGAACCAGCCAAGUAGCGUGAAGGCUGACUGCCCUACGGGUUGUAAACUUCUUUUAUAAAGGAAUAAAGUGAGGCACGUGUGCCUUUUUGUAUGUACUUUAUGAAUAAGGAUCGGCUAACUCCGUGCCAGCAGCCGCGGUAAUACGUAGGAUCCGCGCGUUAUCCGGAUUUAUUGGGUUUAAAGGGAGCGUAGAUGGGUUGUUAAGUCAGUUGUGAAAGUUUGCGGCUCAAACGUAAAAUUGCAAUUGAUACUGGCAGUCUUGAGUACAGUUGAGGUAGGCGGAAUUCGUGGUGUAGCGGUGAAAUGCUUAGAUAUCACGAAGAACUCCGAUUGCGAAGGCAGCUUACUAAACUGCCACUGACAUUGAUGCUCGAAAGUGUGGGUAUCAAACAGGAUUAGAUACCCCAGUAGUC
rnacentral:rRNA from 1 species